rnacentral:rRNA from 1 species
GAUGAACGCUGGCGGCGUGCCUAAUACAUGCAAGUCGAGCGAACAGAUAAGGAGCUUGCUCCUUUGACGUUAGCGGCGGACGGGUGAGUAACACGUGGGUAACCUACCUAUAAGACUGGGAUAACUUCGGGAAACCGGAGCUAAUACCGGAUAAUAUUUCGAACCGCAUGGUUCGAUAGUGAAAGAUGGUUUUGCUAUCACUUAUAGAUGGACCCGCGCCGUAUUAGCUAGUUGGUAAGGUAACGGCUUACCAAGGCGACGAUACGUAGCCGACCUGAGAGGGUGAUCGGCAACACUGGAACUGAACCACGGCCCAGACUCCGAGGGGAGGCAGCAGUAGGGAAUCUUCCGCAAGGGGCGAAAGCCUGACGGAGCACCGCGGCGGGAGUGAGAAAGGUCUCCGGAUCGUAAAACUUUUUUAUGGGGGAAAAACAUACGUGAAAGAACUUGGGCGCGUCUUGACGGUACCUAAUCAAAAAGCCCCGGCAAACUACGUG